rnacentral:rRNA from 1 species
CUCAGGACGAACGCUGGCGGCGUGCUUAAUACAUGCAAGUCGAACGCUUCUUUCCUCCCGAGUGCUUGCACUCRAUUGGAAAGAGGAGUGGCGGACGGGUGAGUAACACGUGGGUAACCUACCCAUCAGAGGGGGAUAACACUUGGAAACAGGUGCUAAUACCGCAUAACAGUUUAUGCCGCAUGGCAUAAGAGUGAAAGGCGCUUUCGGGUGUCGCUGAUGGAUGGACCCGCGGUGCAUUAGCUAGUUGGUGAGGUAACGGCUCACCAAGGCCACGAUGCAUAGCCGACCUGAGAGGGUGAUCGGCCACACUGGGACUGAGACACGGCCCAGACUCCUACGGGAGGCAGCAGUAGGGAAUCUUCGGCAAUGGACGAAAGUCUGACCGAGCAACGCCGCGUGAGUGAAGAAGGUUUUCGGAUCGUAAAACUCUGUUGUUAGAGAAGAACAAGGACGUUAGUAACUGAACGUCCCCUGACGGUAUCUAACCAGAAAGCCACGGCUAACUACGUGCCAGCAGCCGCGGUAAUACGUAGGUGGCAAGCGUUGUCCGGAUUUAUUGGGCGUAAAGCGAGCGCAGGCGGUUUCUUAAGUCUGAUGUGAAAGCCCCCGGCUCAACCGGGGAGGGUCAUUGGAAACUGGGAGACUUGAGUGCAGAAGAGGAGAGUGGAAUUCCAUGUGUAGCGGUGAAAUGCGUAGAUAUAUGGAGGAACACCAGUGGCGAAGGCGGCUCUCUGGUCUGYAACUGACGCUGAGGCUCGAAAGCGUGGGGAGCAAACAGGAUUAGA